UACGAAGGGAGCUAGCGUUGUUCGGAAUCACUGGGCGUAAAGCGUGCGUAGGCGGCUUUGCAAGUCAGGGGUGAAAUCCCACAGCUUAACUGUGGAACUGCCUUUGAAACUGCAAAGCUAGAAUGUGAGAGGGGAUGGCGGAAUUCCUAAUGUAGAGGUGAAAUUCGUAGAUAUUAGGAGGAACACCCGUGGCGAAAGCGGCCAUCUGGAUCACAAUUGACGCUGAUGUACGAAAGCGUGGGUAGCAAACAGG
rnacentral:rRNA from 1 species